GCCGGAGUGGCGGAACGGCAGACGCGCUAGACUCAAAAUCUAGUCCGGGUCACCCCGGGUGUGGGUUCAAGUCCCUCCUCCGGCA
rnacentral:tRNA from 1 species